rnacentral:rRNA from 1 species
CGAGUGGCGGACGGGUGAGUAAUGUCUGGGAAACUGCCUGAUGGAGGGGGAUAACUACGGGAAACGGUAGCUAAUACCGCAUAACGUCGCAAGACCAAAGAGGGGGACCUUCGGGCCUCUUGCCAUCGGAUGUGCCCAGAUGGGAUUAGCUAGUAGGUGGGGUAACGGCUCACCUAGGCGACGAUCCCUAGCUGGUCUGAGAGGAUGACCAGCCACACUGGAACUGAGACACGGUCCAGACUCCUACGGGAGGCAGCAUG